GUGUGUGUGUGUGUGUGUGUGAGGACUAGAGGUAGGGAAAACUUCAGUUGGGAUAUAAUGUAUGUAAAGAAUAAAAAUUAGCCGAGUGCUGGGAUUAAAGGUGUGCAUCACGCCCGGCCUUUUUUUUUUUUCCAUCCAAUGUAUUUUGACCAUGUUUUCCUCUCCCCUAAUUUCUCUCAGAUCCUCCCCACCUUGCUACCCACACUGCACUGUGUUCUUUUUUUCCUCUCUCUUUAAAAGACAAACAAAAACCAAGAAACACAUCCCACACAAAAUCAGAAAUUAAAACAAACAAGCCAAAGACCAAUAAGAAAAAACAAUAGGCCCAAAUAAAACAAUAUGACACAAAAUUCUACAAAAAUAUUGGGUCCUUUUGUGUUGGUCAACUAUUCCUGGGCAUGAGGCCUGCCUUGAAGUGUGGUUAAUAUGCCCAGUGAGGCUCCAUUGAAGAAAGCUGAUUUUUUCCUUUGCCAGAUGGUAUCAAUUUCAGAUAGCUUCUUGGUUAGGAGAAGGAAGGAGCCCAUGUGCACUUCUCUCUCACAUUGCUGGGAUCCCAUCUGGCUUGAACCUGUCCAGGCUCUGUCUGCUGUUACAGCCUCUGUGAAUUCAUUAGUGCAUCAGUCCUAUUGUAUCUGAAAGACAUGGUUUCCUUGGAGUCAUCUAUUACCUGUGCAAGAGCAUAAAACUUUUAAGUAGUGAACACUUUUCACUACUUAAUUUUAGUUUAAAAUAUUUUCCUACACUUUGGAAUUGCAUUCACAAUGUCAAGAGAUAUGGGCACAACAGCAGGAACAAAUGUGGUAAGAUUAGGCAAUUGCAUUGGAAACAUUUGGUUUCACGUCAACCACAAAUAUUUAUGGUGAGACUCUUUGAGCUGCCUCAAAUGCAAUUAAGCUGCAAUACGAAUAUUCAGAUUUUUAGCACUAAAUGUACUACCUUCUUAUCUUCAUGGUGCAUUUUAUCAACUUCAGUGAAUAAACUAAUUAGGUUCGAAUCAUUGUUCUUUUUUGACAUUCUGUUUAUCAGAGCAGUUAUAAUUGGGCAUAUUUGUUGAAGCUACAGCAUGGUCAAGCUAUUUGCAUAUCCUGUAAUAGGGCUGAAAAAUAGUCUGCAAAACCAUUGUAGUGAUUUACAUUGGGAUGAGGAAAAAUAAACCAUAGGUUUUGUGUGUCAAUCUCACGCCUUUGAUUAAUUUUGCAAUUUUCCAUUUUGUCAACAAUAGCUUCUAUUUGUAGCCAUUUGCAAAGGUCUCUUUUUAAAUCACGUAGGUCAUAGUAAUAUUUGUCCCUGGAAAGCAUAUUUGUAAAAUCAGUUUGAAAAGUACAAAAUCCUACAAAGGCAAAGGCUUUCCUUUCCUUUUUUGCUAUAGAGCUGCUCACAUGGUCUCCUAAGCACAAUAUUUGGAACAUUGUAUCCUGUCCUUGCCUGACAAAGACUCCUUCUAGCAGAAAUAAACCAUUAGAAAUCAGUGC
rnacentral:lncRNA from 1 species